rnacentral:rRNA from 1 species
UGCGUAGGCGGGCUAGUAAGUCAGUGGUGAAAUCCCUCAGCUUAACUGAGGAACUGCCAUUGAUACUGUUAGUCUUGAGUAUAGUUGAGGUGGGCGGAAUGUGUCAUGUAGCGGUGAAAUGCAUAGAUAUGACACAGAACACCGAUUGCGUAGGCAGCUCACUAAACUAUCACUGACGCUGAUGCACGAAAGCGUGGGUAGCGAACAGGAUUAGAUACCCUGGUAGUC